rnacentral:rRNA from 1 species
CCUACGGGUGGCAGCAGUGAGGAAUAUUUGUCAAUGGGCGUAAGCCUGAACCAGCCAAGUCGCGUGAGGGAUGAAGGUUCUAUGGAUCGUAAACCUCUUUUAUAAGGGAAUAAAGUGUGGGACGUGUCCUAUUUUGUAUGUCCCUUAUGAAUAAGGAUCGGCUAACUCCGUGCCAGCAGCCGCGGUAAUACGGAGGAUCCGAGCGUUAUCCGGAUUUAUUGGGUUUAACGGGUGCGUAGGCGGCCUUUUAAGUCAGCGGUGAAAGUCUGUGGCUCAACCAUAGAAUUGCCGUUGAAACUGGGGGGCUUGAGUAUGUGUGAGGCAGGCGGAAUGCGUGGUGUAGUGGUGAAAUGCUUAGAUAUCACGCAGAACCCCGAUUGCGAAGGCAGCCUGCCAAGCCAUGACUGACGCUGAUGCACGAAAGCGUGGGGAUCAAACAGGAUUAGAUACCCCAGUAGUC